rnacentral:rRNA from 1 species
CCUACGGGUGGCAGCAGUGGGGAAUAUUGGGCAAUGGGCGCAAGCCUGACCCAGCAACGCCGCGUGAAGGAAGAAGGCUUUCGGUUUGUAAACUUCUUUUCUCAGGGACGAAGAAAGUGACGGUACCUGAGGGAUAAGCCACGGCUAACUACGUGCCAGCAGCCGCGGUAAUCCGUCGGUGGCAAGCGUUAUACGGAUUGAUUGGGUGUAAAGGGCGUGUAGGCGGGGGCGCAAGUCAGAUGUGAAAACGCAGGGCUCAACCCUGGGCCUGCAUUUGAAACUGUGUUUCUCGAGUGCUGGAGAGGCAAGCGGAAUUCCGUGUGUAGCGGUGAAAUGCGUAGAUAUACGGAGGAACACCAGUUGCGAAGGCGGAUUGCUGGACAGUAACUGACGCUGAGGCGCGAAAGCGUGGGGAGCAAACAGGAUUAGAUACCCGGGUAGUC